GGGCCCGCACAAGCAGUGGAUUAUGUGGUUUAAUUCGAAGCAACGCGAAGAACCUUACCAGGGCUUGACAUCCACUAAUGAAGUAGAGAUACAUUAAGUGCCCUUCGGGGAAAGUAGAGACAGGUGGUGCAUGGUUGUCGUCAGCUCGUGUCGUGAGAUGUUGGGUUAAGUCCCGCAACGAGCGCAACCCUUAUUGUUAGUUGCUACGAAAGAGCACUCUAGCGAGACUGCCGUUGACAAAACGGAGGAAGGUGGGGACGACGUCAAAUCAUCAUGCCCCUUAUGUCCUGGGCUACACACGUAAUACAAUGGCGCAAAACAGAGGGAGGCAAAGCCGCGAGGUGGAGCAAAUCCCUAAAAGGCGUCUCAGUUCGGAUUGCAGGCUGCAACUCGCCUGCAUGAAGUCGGAAUUGCUAGUAAUCGCGGAUCAGCAUGCCGCGGUGAAUACG
rnacentral:rRNA from 2 species